rnacentral:piRNA from 1 species
UCAUCGAGAAAUAACAUUUAC